GUUAUAUGGUCAAGCGAAUAAGCGCACACGGUGGAUGCCUUGGCGGUCAGAGGCGAUGAAGGACGUGGCAGCCUGCGAAAAGUAUCGGGGAGCUGGCAACAAGCUUUGAUCCGGUAAUGUCCGAAUGGGGAAACCCACCCGCUUGCGGGUAUCCUGCAGUGAAUACAUAGCUGCUGGAAGCGAACCUGGUGAACUGAAAUAUCUAAGUAACCAGAGGAAAAGAAAUCAACCGAGAUUCCGUAAGUAGCGACGAGCGAACGCGGACUAGCCCUUAAGCUGGAUUGGUUCUAGGAAAACGCUCUGGAAAGAGCGGCCAUAGAAGGUGAUAGCCCUGUAUCUGAAAGGGCCAUUCCAGUGAAGACGAGUAGGGCGGGGCACGUGAAACCCUGUCUGAACAUGGGGGGACCAUCCUCCAAGGCUAAAUACUACUGACCGACCGAUAGUGAACCAGUACCGUGAGGGAAAGGCGAAAAGAACCCCGGAGAGGGGAGUGAAAUAGAACCUGAAACCGUGUGCGUACAAGCAGUAGGAGCUCCGCAAGGAGUGACUGCGUACCUUUUGUAUAAUGGGUCAGCGACUUACUGUUCGUGGCAAGCUUAACCGUAUAGGGGAGGCGAAGGGAAACCGAGUCUGAUAAGGGCGCAUAGUCGCGGGCAGUAGACCCGAAACCGGGUGAUCUAGUCAUGCCCAGGGUGAAGGUGCGGUAACACGCACUGGAGGCCCGAACCCACUCCCGUUGCAAAGGUAGGGGAUGAGGUGUGAUUAGGAGUGAAAAGCUAAUCGAACCCGGAGAUAGCUGGUUCUCCUCGAAAGCUAUUUAGGUAGCGCCUCAUAUGUAUCCUCUCGGGGGUAGAGCACUGUUAUGGCUAGGGGGUCAUCGCGACUUACCAAACCAUUGCAAACUCCGAAUACCGAGACGGACUGUAUGGGAGACACACGGCGGGUGCUAACGUCCGUCGUGAAAAGGGAAACAACCCAGACCCACAGCUAAGGUCCCAAAUUUUGUGCUAAGUGGAAAACCAUGUGGAAAGGCACAGACAGCCAGGAGGUUGGCUUAGAAGCAGCCACCCUUUAAAGAAAGCGUAAUAGCUCACUGGUCGAGUCGGUCUGCGGGGAAGAUUUAACGGGGCUAAGCACAGAACCGAAGCUUGGGGUGCAUACUUUGUAUGCGCGGUAGAGGAGCGUUCCGUAAGCCGUUGAAGGUGGAUUGAGAAGUCUGCUGGAGGUAUCGGAAGUGCGAAUGCUGACAUGAGUAACGAUAAUGCGGGUGAAAAACCCGCACGCCGAAAGCCCAAGGUUUCCUUGCGCAACGUUAAUCGGCGCAGGGUGAGUCGGCCCCUAAGGCGAGGACGAAAGUCGUAGUCGAUGGGAAGCAGGUUAAUAUUCCUGCACCUCGCGUAAGUGCGAUGGAGGGACGGAGAAGGUUAGGUGUACCAGGCGUUGGUUGUCCUGGGGAAAGGCGGUAGGUUUGGAUCUUUGGCAAAUCCGGGAUCCUCUAAGACCGAGCACCGAGACGAGCCUUUAAGGCGAAGUCACUGAUACCACGCUUCCAGGAAAAGCUCCUAAGCUUCAGCUUACGCAGACCGUACCGUAAACCGACACAGGUGGGUAGGAUGAGAAUUCUCAGGCGCUUGAGAGAACUCGGGUGAAGGAACUAGGCAACAUGGCACCGUAACUUCGGGAGAAGGUGCACCCUUUUUGGUGGCUCGUGCGAGCUAUAGCUGAAGAGGGUCGCAGUAACCAGGCCGCUGCGACUGUUUAUCAAAAACACAGCACUCUGCAAACACGAAAGUGGACGUAUAGGGUGUGACGCCUGCCCGGUGCUGGAAGGUUAAUUGAUGGGGUCAGCCGCAAGGCGAAGCUCUUGAUCGAAGCCCCAGUAAACGGCGGCCGUAACUAUAACGGUCCUAAGGUAGCGAAAUUCCUUGUCGGGUAAGUUCCGACCUGCACGAAUGGCGUAACGACAGCGGCGCUGUCUCCACCCGAGACUCAGUGAAAUUGAAAUCGCUGUGAAGAUGCAGCGUUCCCGUGGCAAGACGGAAAGACCCCGUGAACCUUUACUAUAGCUUUACACUGAACGUUGAGUUCGUCUGUGUAGGAUAGGUGGGAGGCUAUGAAACUGUGGCGCCAGCUGCAGUGGAGCCAUCCUUGAAAUACCACCCUGUCGUGCUUGACGUUCUAACCUGGGCCCAUUAUCUGGGUCGGGGACCGUGUAUGGUGGGUAGUUUGACUGGGGCGGUCUCCUCCUAAAGAGUAACGGAGGAGCUCGAAGGUACGCUCAGCGCGGUCGGACAUCGCGCACUGUGUGCAAAGGCAUAAGCGUGCUUGACUGCAAGAUCGACGGAUCAAGCAGGUAGGAAACUAGGACUUAGUGAUCCGGUGGUUCUGUAUGGAAGGGCCAUCGCUCAACGGAUAAAAGGUACUCCGGGGAUAACAGGCUGAUACCGCCCAAGAGUUCAUAUCGACGGCGGUGUUUGGCACCUCGAUGUCGGCUCAUCACAUCCUGGGGCUGUAGUCGGUCCCAAGGGUAUGGCUGUUCGCCAUUUAAAGUGGUACGCGAGCUGGGUUCAGAACGUCGUGAGACAGUUCGGUCCCUAUCUGCCAUGGGCGUUGGAGAUUUGAGAGGGGCUGCUCCUAGUACGAGAGGACCGGAGUGGACGAACCUCUGGUGUUCCGGUUGUCACGCCAGUGGCAUUGCCGGGUAGCUAUGUUCGGAAGCGAUAACCGCUGAAAGCAUCUAAGCGGGAAGCGCGCCUCAAGAUGAGAUCUCCCGGGGCACAAGCCCCCUGAAGGAACCAUGUAGACUACGUGGUUGAUAGGUCAGGUGUGUAAGUACAGCAAUGUAUUGAGCUAACUGAUACUAAUGAUCCGUGCGGCUUGACCAUAUAACCU
rnacentral:rRNA from 1 species